rnacentral:rRNA from 1 species
GACGAACGCUGGCGGCGUGCUUAACACAUGCAAGUCGAACGCUGAUCCGGGUGCUUGCACCUGGGGAUUAGUGGCGAACGGGUGAGGAACACGUGAGUAACUUGCCCUGGACUCUGGGAGAACCCCGAGAAAUCGGAGCUAAUACCGGAUAGGACGUUUCCUCGCUAGCGGCGGGGUGGAAAGUUCUUUCGGUUGGGGCUGGACUCGCGGCCUAUCCGCUUGGUGGUGAGGUGACGGCUCACCAAGGCGUCGACGGGUAGCCGGCCUGAGAGGGUGACCGGCCACACUGUGACUGAGACACGGCCCAGACUCCUACGGGAGGCAGCAGUGGGGAAUAUUGCACAAUGGGCGAAAGCCUGAUGCAGCAACGCCGCGUGAGGGAUGAAGGCCUUCGGGUUGUAAACCUCUUUUAGUUGGGAAGAAGCGAAAGUGACGGUACCAACAUAAAAAGCACCGGCUAACUACGUGCCAGCCGCCGCCGUAACAC